UAAGUGAAAUCUACUUGAAGUCGGUAGACAUUGUGCAAUGAAAUAGAAAUUCUAAUUUAUUUAUAAUUUAUAAUCUAUAAUCCUUAAGAAAGAGUGGAGCUCAUCCAAUUGUUUCUUGAUUUUUUUUUGUUUUCUAAUAUAGAACACCCCUGUUCAGGCAAAAUCUUACUUUGAAGUGCCCUUACAACCAAAGGUCACAUACAGUUAGCUAUACGUUUGUAUCCGCCAAAACACAUUUUAUCAAAGAAAAACAAAUGGAUCCCAGCCAUUCCAAUACCCACUUCACGUUCGUCCUCCUUGUCGGGCCUUCACUCACAGACAACUGCUACUGUAUUUGAUUCAUAGAAUUCACGCCCUUUUUCGAAUUCAGAGUUCUGGCCCUCUCCGAGUUCUUCCACUAAAACAGGUUGGUGCUCUUGCGCCUAUCCUCCAAUGGCAGACCUCUCGGGCGUGCGAUCCUGCAUUCAGUCCAUCCUCAUUUGUGCGCCUCCGAAGUGUUUGUGGAAAUGCCUGUGCACCGUUGUCCCCCUUUCCUUGGCGCCCGCACUUUGUCACACCCUUACUGUCUGGCAAUUUCAUAGUUAUGUAGGACAUUGUUUUGUUCCAAUAAAGUUAUUGCUUCCCACCACCCAUUUUCCUCUGCUAUAUUAUGUUGUGAUUUGCAAUCCAAAGGGAAUAAAAAAAAAAUCACAAGAUUGCAAGAUGUUUUAAAUUUCAAUAUGCUUGCUUAUUUCUUUUUCGAGCAUCCAUUCUUCCAAAUGGUAAUGAUAAGGAGUUAUCUCCUUCGUUGGCCUCUCUGGUACAGUCUCUCCAGUCUCAAGCAGCCUGAUGUUUAUUCUAUCAUUUGGGACAUCUGUAUUUUUAGGAACCAAUGUAAAAUCAUAUCUUUUAAAAAAAAAAUUGUAUGUAGAGUAGACCUGUUAUUUUAAUGAAUUGAACUUAUCAACAAACUUUUGUAGUUAAACUAUAUUCUAGGGAUAGGAACUCAGCUGCAUCUCACUUGCACUAUUGAUUUCGUUGUCGUUCAUUCCAAAUUCGUUGUUACAUGAUAUUCCUUUCAGGUGCUUCAAGUAUCAUCAUUGACUUGUGCUUGUUGUGUCAGAGUCCAAAUAAGCAGAUACUUCUUCGGGCUUUGAGAGAAUGUAGCAGUGUAGCACAAUGGAAGAAAAGAUAGACUUUGUGGGGCCAACUUUCUAUUAUUUCGCCUUCAGGAGACCACUACUAUUUCAUAGAAGAGUUUGAGAUUCUGAACUUUCUAACUGAGUAAAGAAACUUCCAUUUCUUGAUUAUGAUGGUAUGCUCGCAAUUUUGCUCUUUAUUGAAAAUCCCUAAUGCACUACUCCACCGGUGUGCGUCCUGCUUGAUAAGUUCAUAAGAAUCUGACUGCAAGGUUUUGGAUUGACAUUAUGCAAGCAGGUUUCAUACUUCCUUUUUGGACGUCCAUUCUUUUCAGAAAAAUGAGCUAGCCAAUUUACCCUGAAAGGAAAAUGAGAUUUGGUUCUCUGGUGCUAGGCGCUCUUUUGGUUCGUAAGAAGGAAAAAUGGAUCAUCCUUUGUUUGGCACGAGAUGAUAAAGAGAGAGCUUCGUUUAUCGAGGGAGAGUGGAUUGACUAAGCUCUUGCAACUAGCGGAUUAGCUUGGAAAGAAUGUUACCUUCUUUUCAAAGAGCAGUCAUUGGUUUUGCUUUUCAACUCACAUGUGCUGAGCCUGAAGAAUUGCAGCGAUUAUGGUAGUUGAGGUAAUGAAUUUCAAUUUUAUAUUUUUGCAGCUUGGAAAGAUCACUGACUUGUAGAUAAAUAUAUUACUUCCAUCAAUGUUCUUGGAGCCCAUUGCCGUCUCCAGAAGAAAAAUUAAUGACGUAAGCUUUUCAAUUGUGCUUCAAAUCAAAAGACUGCCUCAUGACUGAGUACUUUGCUUGGAGAGUAUGAUUGACUCAUUUGAAUCUUUUUUUCCCCAUCUAGAUAGAACUUUGGUGGUAACUCUACAACGGUUACCAAGCAUCUUUAAGAGGUUAGAUACCAAAAAUUGUGAAGAACUUGAAUAUAAUUUUUUUAGAACCUGUCAUUCCACAUCCUUCUUGCAUUUACUUUUGUUUUUCUCGAAAGUAAAUUGAGGUUGUUCAUUGAAUUCUACAAAUUACUGCAUGGUUUUCUGGAUGGAUGAUUUUUGAGGUUAUCACCAUUUUCAAGACUCAAGCACUAAAAAAUGCGAUUCAUCUUUCUAUCAUUUCUUCUUAAGAAAAAUCAGAAGAUGGAAAAUGAUUCAUGUAUAAUAUACUUUGUUGAAGAACAGCGAGUGGGCUUACUUUUUGAUAUUUGCUAUUUCUCCAAUCUCAGGCACUACUUGAUUUCUUAAAGUUGUUGAUUUGAUCCAUUUGUAUAUUUAGGUUUGAUUGAAACCUCAUAAUUUCAUAGCAAAGGUACCAUAGUCAUGAUCCUUCCUUGAAGUAGUUGUUUCGUUUUCUUUGCCUGAGAUAUGAGAUUAUUUUUGUAAUUAAGAACAUUUAGAAUUCUGCCUCAUUCCUAUAAACUUGGAGAUGUUAUUAUUGAUUCGGUAUCUUAAACUCAGAUUUCUUUUUUGUAUUUCUUGCGAUUUUUGGAGAUGUAAAAAUCUGUGUUGUAAAACAUUGUUUGCUUUUCUAGGAAUUAAGGUUUCACUUCUUCUUAUAAAGAAUAAGAAAACAAUUGAGGGUUCGCCAUUUUUCUUUUUUGGCUUGUGUACUAAAAAUUGAAGUACCAUAUGAUAGGAAUAUAUAAUUGGUAAACUUCUGCGGAUACAAACUUUAGCCCACUCAUGGUUUAUCCUAUACUAAAAAGGGUUGGUGUAUGCUAAAAUACAGUUCAACAUUUUUACAUUCAUACAUUUAUACCAAUGGCUCAAAAUUCAAUUGGAGAGCGCUAUAGGAUCAGAAUUUUUUCUUAAUUAUAUUUUAUAUUGAAGGUAUAAUCUGAUAAAUAGAUUUAUAACAGUGAAUCUCCAAGUUCAUCAACAUUUUUUUUAUAGGUGUUCACCAACAUAUUUGGUUUGCUAAAAGUUGUUUUUCUCGAAAUGUUGCUUCAAUCUUGAGCCAAUAGUUGAAUUCUUUAAACUAUCCUUCUAUUUAGUACAAGUUUUUAUAUAAGAGUCUGUUUUUUUUUUUGGGGGGUAACGUAAGAGUCUGCAUCUUAAUAUUACCAAUAUCAGUUUAAAAGCUUAGCUGGACCGAUUACUUGAGUGAUGUAAUAAAUAAAUUUAGUCUGUGCAUCGUGUUACUGCUUCCAUACACUAUUAGAGGAAAUUUGCCGGCAAUUUCAAACCCCAUUCUCUUCUUGUUGGUAAGUUCCAUUAAUCCCUCUCUACGUUGCCCUCUUUGUCAUCUAUAUAGAUUAAAUUGCAGAUGGCUAGGACCGGUUGGUGAUAAUAUGCCAUCUUUCCUAAUUGUGUCUCCAUUUAUUCAAAGAUCUAUUGCUCUUUGUUUUACGCGUUUCAUUACCCUUCCUAUACAAUGGUUUGUUGAUUGAAGUUUUUUUGAUGAAUUUGUUGAUCGAAGUUUAGUUUUUAUCAAAUAAUGGGAAUGCUGGAGCCUAUCAUUAGUGGAAUGUCUAUUUAGAGUACAUUUUACUAGACGUCUAUCUUGAGGAUCGAAAUAGUCUUAUUCUGAGAUUGUCAAUGUAUAGUCUACGUAUUGUUUGCAAAUUAUAGCCAAAUUGAUAAAGUAAGAUAUAUUAUUAAUUUUUCUUUUAUAUAUUUAGCUGUUCAAAUUUUAAUAAAAUAUUACAUUUUUAAAAGAUGAUCAUUAUAAGUGAAGCAGUUGCUUUUUGAUAAAUUAGUAUUCUAGUAACUGUAAUAAAAAAUGAAAUUAUGUGUCAUAAAAUUAACUUAUGAAAAACCCAAUUACUGUAAAAUUAGUACUUUUAGUUCUUUUACCAUGUAAUUUCUUUGACAAAUACACAAUAUUUUCGAUUGAAAAGCAGACAUGUUUGUUCAACAUGACUAAAUCAGUUAUUACAAUAAAAAAGCAUAACGGAGAUGUGAUUUCUAGAAAUAUAGAGAUACCUACCAAAAUUAUAACAGAAAUUACUGUUAAUAUUCAAUCAACCUCUCAUAAGUAAAUUUCCUAUUGAAAAAUUAUUAAUGUUUUAGAUUUUUCAUAAUGACAAAGACAAAAUUAAAUAAAUAGUAAUAUAUACAAAUUUCUCCAUUAUUACAUUAUUGAUGUACAAGUUACAUACAGCAUCUCUUUAAAAUAUUAUAGAGCUCAAAUCUCUAUUGCUAAAACUUAUGGUUGUUUAGUGUAAAAUGUUUCGAUAUUUUUUAUAUUAAUUAUUUUCCAGAUAAAACAAUUAGAAUUGAUUAACAUCUUACAAAAAAAUAAAGCUAGUUAUUUACAUUGGUACAUUUAAUGCUCAACAAAUGUAUAAAUUCUCCCUUACAUUAUGCAUUAUAGCUUUUCCAUGGUUUUUUUAUUUGUUCUGUGAUUGUGGGAGGAUUAGUUGGCACUCUUACAAUUGCCUCCCGUACUCUCAAUUGAAUUCAAUCCAAAGCCAUAGUCUUUCUUUUGUAUGUUUCCAUAUUAUUUAUUUUCACUUUCCUCAGCACAUGAAGGGAGAGUUUCCAUGGGAGUGAUUACGAGAGACUAGCAGAGAGAGGUGACUGGAAGAGAAUUACAGAAAAAAGAGUUUUGAUCGUGGGACGGUGAUUUAGCUUCGAGGAUUGGUUAAGAUUUAGGAGUUCUUAGAGGGCACAGCGGAAGAAUAAGAAUUUUCAAAAAUUUAUUUCUUGUCCUUCAAUUUGUAAUUUAAUAAAUGACACCAUAUGUUCAUAGAUUUUGUAUAUGUUAUAUAUUUUUGUAUAUUUUAUCGAGUUGAAGUUUUAAUUUA